AUGGAGACCAGCGCCGCCGGCGCCGGCCGACCAGGCGGAGGAGGCAAGAGCGGCACGGCGAAGCAGCUAAACGUGGGGGGCAAACUCUUUGCCCUGGAGGCAAGCUCCCUCUCCCUCUCCCUCUCCCUCGAUCCCUCCCCAACCCCAACUUUCGUGGACCGCGACCCCGCUCUCCUCUCCGCUCUCCUCUCCGCCAUCCGUGCGCCCUCCUCCCCGCCGGCCUUCCCCGCCCGGGUCCUCCUCGACGAGGCCCUCUUCUACGGCCUCCACGCCCAGCUCCUCGCCGCGCUCUCCCCUCCGCCCCUCCUCGGCUUCUCCGCGUCCCUCGCGUCCACACUGUCCCCCGCCUCCGAGCCCUUCCCCACCGCGCUCGCCGCGCACCACGACGGCUCCUUCUGCCUCGCCCACGGCGCCGGUCAGCUCACCUACUACUCCCCGGCGCUGGACCGUCUCACCACCUUCCGCACCCACCUCCACCGCGCCACCUCCAUCAGGCUGCUGCCCUCCAGCCUCGCCGUUGUCGGGUCCAGCUCCUCCCCCGGGCUCCAUGUGUACGACCUCCUCGAAGGCUGGCACGUCGCCUCCGUUGAAUGGUCAGACCCGACCGACCUACGCGUCCUCAAAGCGAAGGUCAUCGCCAUCGCCGCCCGUCCUCCUGCUGAUGCCGCUGACACAAAUUCACCGAUCCUCGCUACAUUCGAGUGCCCACACCGGGAGAACUGCAUCCUGGCGAUUGACCCUGUAACUCUUAAGCCCAUACAGGAGAUUGGCCGGCAAAGUGGGAGUGCGGCUAAGUCAUCUUCGCCGGAUCGACUAGUGCACCUGCAGGAGCUUGGGCUGGUGUUUGCUUCAUCUGUGAGCUCGGGGGCAUUUGGCUAUUCUGGGUACAUGAGGCUGUGGGACAUUCGAUCUGGGAAUGUGGUCUGGGAGACAAGCGAGCCAGGGGGAUCCGGAAGAAGCAGCAGGUUUGGUGAUCCGUUUUCAGAUGCAGAUGUGGACGUGAAGCAGCUGAUGCUCUACAAGGUGUGCUCAAAAUCAGGAGAUAUUGGAGUUGCAGACCUGAGGCGCCUCGAUAACGACCCUUGGGUGUACAUGUCAUCAGGACCAAAGGGGAGUGGAGGGGGUCAUGGCAGUGUUCUGCAUUGCUACAAGUCCCAGGUGUUUGUCAGCCGGAAGGAUGGAUUGGAGGUUUGGUCCAGACUGGAAGAACAACGAGAUGACACAUGCAACUUUCCGGAGCAACCGGGAGCAAAGGAGACACUUGACAGAAAAGGAAUUAAUGAAAAUAGUUUCAGAAGCAGCUAUGUGGAUACCGAAGAGGAUUCUAAGCGUGGAAUGAUAGAGAUGAUGGAAGGCGGCGGAGACCGCUUAUUUGUGACCAGAGAAGACAUGCCAGUUGUGGAAGUGUGGGAGAGUUCCCACCUAGCCGGUGCUAUCUCUCUGGCAUAG
rnacentral:rRNA from 1 species